UGUCUUUUUGAAAAUAAUUUAAGGUUUAAUCUGCCCACUGAUUUAAUAUUAAAGGGCUGCAGUAUAUUGACUGUACAAAGGUAGCAUAAUCAUUAGUCAUUUAAUUGAUGACUUGUAUGAAAGAUUGGAUGAAAUGUAAGCUGUCUCUUAAUUAUUAAUAGAAUUUAAUUUUUCAAUUAAAAAGUUGAAAUAAUUUAAAAAGACGAGAAGACCCUAUAGAGUUUUAUAUGUAAAUUUAUUGAAAUUAUUUUUAAAAUUAAAAUUAAAAUUAAUUUAUUUAUUUUAUUGGGGUGAUAGAAAAAUAUAUAAAACUUUUUUUAUAUUUAAAACAUUUAUAAGUGAUUAAAUGAUCCAAUAAUAUUGAUUAAAAGAAAAAAUUACCUUAGGGAUAACAGCGUAAUUUUUUUUUUUAGUUCACAUAAGAAAAAGAGUUUGCGACCUCGAUGUUGGAUUAAGAUAAAAUUUAAAUGUAGAAG
rnacentral:rRNA from 2 species